UGAUGAGGGCAGCAACCUGAGGCAGCAGAAGCUUGACCGGCAGCGGGCCCAAUUUUAAAAAAAAGGAAGACAAACAAAAAAACAACAAUAUGGCAAGAAGUUAAUGACGAGUAUUUCAAUCUUUCCCUUUUCGGUUUUCAUCCAAAAAUCUUGACUGAACUGCAGUUGUGCACGGAUGAAGGGAUCAUCCACUGACAGCAGGUGUAACCAGCAUCUCCAGAGCAGCAGCCCACGAGGGACUGGCAUCCCGCGAGCCAAAGCAGUUGGCCCAGAGUGUGGUGGGGCGUCCAGAGCUGAACUAAUAACAGCCUUCCUGUGAUACUCAGCCCGGAGAUCAAGUUGGAAAGAGACCAGUCCCAGUGGAAGAGUCACCUCAGAAGGUCUGUCCUUAAUGUUAUAAAUUCACAGGCUCCUCCCCUAGGGUUGCCAGAUUUAGCAAAUAAACAUACUGGAUGCCCAGCUGAACUUGAAUUUCAGAUGAACAAAGUAAUAUUGCAUGUGACAAAUUUACACAAAAAAGGAUUUUUUGUUUAUUUUAAAUUCAAAUGUAAAUGGUUUAAAUAUAAUCUGGUAACCCUACACAUGGAGGGAUCUGCAGGGGAACCAAGGUGCUCCAGUCAACCAGCGCAGCUGAGCCCCUAGCAGAAGCCAGAACCCAUGCUCAUCCAUGUGAGGGAGCUCUCUCAGAUGUACCAGCCUAACGGAGCCUCCAGCUGAUGGCAGCCCCAGACGAGGCUCCACUGCAGUCGUGCUUGUGAAGGGAUGGAGAGGUAUUGCUACAAACUGCUCCCUGCGGCCCAUGGAAAGCCGUGU